CCCAGCUACACAGGAGGCUGAGGCAGGAGAAUCGCUUGAAACAGUGAGCCCAGAUUGCACCACUGCACUCGAGCCUGGCAACAGAGUGAGACUCCUUCUCAAAAAAAAAAGAAAAAGAAAAACCCAAAUACCCAUCAAUGAUAGACUGGACAAAGAAAAUGUGGUACAUAUACACCAUGAAAUACUAUGCAGCCAUAAAAAACGAUGAGUUCUCCCAGUACUUUGGGAAGCCAAGGCGGGUGGAUCACGAGGUCAAGAGAUCGAGACCAUCCUGGUCAACAUGGUGAAACCCCGUCUCUACUAAAAAUACAAAAAAUUAACUGGGCAUGGUGGCACAUGCCUGUAAUCCCAGCUACUCAGAAGGCUGAGGCAGGAGAAUUGCCUGAACCCAGGAGGCGGAGAUUGCGGUGAGCCGAGAUCGCGCCAUUGCACUCCAGCCUGGGUAACAAGAGCGAAACUCCGUCUCAAAAAAGAAAACAACGAUGAGUUCCCGUCCUUUGCAGGGACUUGGAUGAAUCUGGAAACCGUCAUUCUCAGCAAAGUGACACAAGAACAGAAAACCAAACACCACAUGUUCUCACUCAGUGCCUGGCAUAUAAGAAGCAUUGCGUAAGCAUCAGGACUGGCCUUCCUGCUGUCGUGGGUAGAGCACAGCUCAUCGAGUCUCCAGCUCAACUGUCCUGGGGCUGUGCGGGGUCCUCCCAGCUCCAAGCAGCCUCCAAUCGUACCAGAGUCCAGAAGACACACUGGAGAAGCCAAGGGCAGCUUGGCAAGGGUACCAGCCACUUGAGAGCUGAGUGCAAUACCGGAAGAUUAAAAAUGGCAGCAGAGAAAGAUGGUGAAGGGCUCAGGCAGAGAGGUCAUCAUUGUCAUGUCCACACCUCCAAUGCCCCAGGUGCCAAAAAGUGAGGCACUGCAGAAUCAGCUUGGGGCCACCCCUCUGAGACCAGGGCCUCUGUCCAGCCUCUCAGCAGCUGCGGGGACCUUUUCCUCCGGCACUUCCUCCUUCCUCAGCCACGCCUGAGCCCUUCUCUAGCUGCGUAGUAGGACACAGUCACCUCCACUCUGACUGCCUUCUUCCUUGUGGCCCAGGACAGGAGCACAAAAAUAACAAGCGUGGAAGCAUUUCCAGAGCCUUAGAGAUUUCUGCAACCACAGGCCUGGUCUGGAGCUGCCAGCUCCUUUCACCAUAACACCUGGAAAACCCAUUGACUUCUCCCUUUUCUGGAAGGUUUCUCCAUUUCCUGCCAGCCUCUCCUAUGGGAGGGGCUAAUCUUUCCCACCAGAGUGGCUGCUUCCCAGCCCCGAAGUUAGAAAGCAAGCAACGACCGGAGCAAGGCGGGUCAUGGUGGCUCACACCUGUAAUCCCAGCACUUUGGGAGGCCAAGGCAGGUGGAUCACCUGAGGUCAGGAGUUCAAGAGCAGCUUGACCAACAUGGGGAAAGACCAAAUCUACUAAAAAUACAAAACUAUUUUUAGGUGACAGUUUUUUAUUUUCCUUUUUGCCAAUUUGUACAUUAGUGUCCCUCCUGGUCAACAUGGUGAAACCCCAUCUCUACUAAAAAUACAAAAAAUUAGCUGGGCAUGGUGGCACAUGCCUGUAAUCCCAGCUAUUCAGGAGGCUGAGGCAGGAGAAUUGCCUGAACCCAGGAGGCGAAGGUUGCAGUGAGCCGAGAUCGCGCCAUUGCACUGGGUAACAAGAGCGACACUCCAUCUCAAAAAAAAAAAAAAAAAAUUCCUUAAAACACUAAUACUGAUUAAAAAUGUCUGUUUGGCUUGUUCAGAGCUCCAGGUGCUUUCAGGAUCCAAGUCACAUUCUUGUCCUUUAAGCCAACAACAUUUUAAAAGCCUGUAAUGGCUGUAUCUUAUUGAAGCAAACAAUAAUAACUUUCUACAGGGC
ensembl:lncRNA